rnacentral:rRNA from 1 species
UACGAGGGGGGCAAGUGUUGUUCGGAAUCACUGGGCGUAAAGGGCGCGUAGGCGGAUGUUUAAGUUGGAUGUUUAAAACCGAGGCCUAACCUCGGAGCGGCAUCCAAAACUGGGCAUCUUGAAUAGGUCAGAGGCUGGUGGAAUUGGAGGUGUAGCGGUGGAAUGCGUAGAGAUCUCCAAGAACACCUAUUGCGAAGGCAGCCAGCUGGGACCAUAUUGACGCUGAGGCUCGAAAGCAUGGGGAGCAAACAGG